UAGGGAAUCUUCCGCAAUGGGCGAAAGCCUGACGGAGCAACGCCGCGUGAGUGAUGAAGGUCUUCGGAUCGUAAAACUCUGUUAUUAGGGAAGAACACAUGUGUAAGUAACUAUGCACGUCUUGACGGUAUCUAAUCAGAAAGCCACGUCUAACUACGUGCCAGCAGCCGCGGUAAUACGUAGGUGGCAAGCGUUAUCCGGAAUUAUUGGGCGUAAAGCGCGCGUAGGCGGUUUUUUAAGUCUGAUGUGAAAGCCCACGGCUCAACCGUGGAGGGUCAUUGGAAACUGGAGAACUUGAGUGCAGAAGAGGAAAGUGGAAUUCCAUGUGUAGCGGUGAAAUGCGCAGAGAUAUGGAGGAACACCAGUGGCGAAGGCGACUUUCUGGUCUGUAACUGACGCUGAUGUGCGAAAGCGUGGGGAUCAAACAGG
rnacentral:rRNA from 1 species